CCUACGGGUGGCAGCAGUGGGGAAUAUUGGACAAUGGGGGGAACCCUGAUCCAGCGACGCCGCGUGAGUGAAGAAGUAUUUCGGUAUGUAAAGCUCUAUCAGCAGGGAAGAAAGAAAUGACGGUACCUGACUAAGAAGCCCCGGCUAACUACGUGCCAGCAGCCGCGGUAAUACGUAGGGGGCAAGCGUUAUCCGGAUUUACUGGGUGUAAAGGGAGCGUAGACGGCAGGGCAAGUCUGGAGUGAAAGGCAGGGGCUCAACCCCUGGACUGCGCUGGAAACUGUCCGGCUGGAGUGCAGGAGAGGUAAGUGGAAUUCCUAGUGUAGCGGUGAAAUGCGUAGAUAUUAGGAGGAACACCAGUGGCGAAGGCGGCUUACUGGACUGUAACUGACGUUGAGGCUCGAAAGCGUGGGGAGCAAACAGGAUUAGAUACCCGUGUAGUC
rnacentral:rRNA from 1 species